rnacentral:rRNA from 1 species
UAGGGAAUCUUCGGCAAUGGACGACAGUCUGACCGAGCAACGCCGCGUGAGUGAAGAAGGUUUUCGGAUCGUAAAACUCUGUUGUUAGAGAAGAACAAGGACGUUAGUAACUGAACGUCCCCUGACGGUAUCUAACCAGAAAGCCACGGCUAACUACGUGCCAGCAGCCGCGGUAAUACGUAGGUGGCAAGCGUUGUCCGGAUUUAUUGGGCGUAAAGCGAGCGCAGGCGGUUUCUUAAGCCUGAUGUGAAAGCCCCCGGCUCAACCGGGGAGGGUCAGUGGAAACUGGGAGACUUGAGUGCAGAAGAGGAGAGUGGAAUUCCAUGUGUAGCGGUGAAAUGCGUAGAUAGAUGGAGGAACACCGGUGGCGAAGGCGGCUCGCUGGGCUGUAACCGACGCUGAGGCUCGAAAGCGUGGGGAGCAAACAGG